rnacentral:rRNA from 1 species
GAUGAACGCUGGCGGCGUGCCUAAUACAUGCAAGUCGAGCGAAGCGGGGACGGGUGAGUAACACGUGGCUAACCUCCUCUAAGACUGGGAUAACUUCGGGAAACCGGAGCUAAACCGGAUACUUCUCGCUGGAUCCGCGCUGCAUUAGCUAGUUGGUAAGGUAACGGCUUCCCAAGGCAACGAUGCAUAGCCGACCUGAGAGGGGGAUCGGCCACACUGGAACUGAGACACGGCCCAGACUCCUACGUGAGGCAGCAGGAGGGAAUCUUCCGCAAUGGGCGAAAGCCUGACGGAGCAACGCCGCGUGAGUGAUGAAGGGCUGCGGAUCGUAAAACUCUGUUAGUAGGGAAGCGGUACCUAAACAGAAAGCCACGGCUAACUACGUGCCAGCAGCCGCGGUAAUUC